rnacentral:rRNA from 1 species
UACGUAGGGUGCGAGCGUUAAUCGGAAUUACUGGGCGUAAAGCGUGCGCAGGCGGUUUUGUAAGCCCGGUGUGAAAUCCCCGGGCUCAACCUGGGAAUGGCAUUUGGGACUGCAAGGCUGGAGUGCGGCAGAGGAGACUGGAAUUCCUGGUGUAGCAGUGAAAUGCGUAGAUAUCAGGAGGAAUACCGAUGGCGAAGGCAGGUCUCUGGGCUGACACUGACGCUCAUGCACGAAAGCGUGGGAGCAAACAGG